AACAGAGGAUGCAAGCGUUAUCCGGAAUGAUUGGGCGUAAAGCGUCUGUAGGUGGCUUAAAAAGUCUCCUGUCAAAGAUCAGGGCUUAACCCUGGGCCGGCAGGAGAAACUCUUAGGCUAGAGUUUGGUAGGGGCAGAGGGAAUUCCCGGUGGAGCGGUGAAAUGCGUAGAGAUCAGGAGGAACACCAAAGGCGAAAGCACUCUGCUGGGCCACAACUGACACUGAGAGACGAAAGCGAGGGGAGCAAAAGGG
rnacentral:rRNA from 1 species